CUGCUACCGAGCGGGCACUAGUUGUUCGACGUAUUGGCGCUACCGCUACGGAAGGCCCUGAGCCAGCGAUCUGGCGUCCUCGCCGGUUUGUACGGGAGCUGCGCAAUCACGUAAGAUUAAUUCCUGUUCAUGUAGGCAAUAGGACGCGGGGCUUGGACUCUUGUUGUUCUUGCAACGAGUCGAUGUCUCAUCUCACUAAAGUUCGUCGACAGGCACAAACUGCAGUGUCUGCGUAUGUUAGAAAAAUGCCUUUCCAAUUACAAUCUACAACCGGUAGAAACAGAGAUUUAGCAAGAUUGGUUUUCUUGAUUACAUGAUAUUAGCAACAUUUGUCCGGCCUGUUUGGCCUGUCCUUUUUGUUUCCUUGAUGUGAUAUAACUAGUGCCAGUCUUGCUAAACAGCAGACACCAACAUUGCUACUUGCCAAAAGCAUCAGACAUGGACAACAUUAAUGCCAUUAUUGUUGAGAAUCGCUGAACCAAAGCAUACACAUAGUCCC
rnacentral:lncRNA from 1 species